ACCCGCUGAACUUAAGCAUAUCAAUAAGCAGAGGAAAAGAAACCAACAGGGAUUGCCUUAGUAACUGCGAGUGAAGCGGCAAAAGCUCAAAUUUGAAAUCUGGUGCCUUCGGCGCCCGAGUUGUAAUUUGGAGAGACAUCUUCGGAGUAGACGCCGUCCUAAGUUCCUUGGAACAGGACGUCACAGAGGGUGAGAAUCCCGUGCCUGGAUGGCUGUUCUACUUCAUGUGAAGUGUCUUCGACGAGUCGAGUUGUUUGGGAAUGCAGCUCAAAAUGGGAGGUAAAUUUCUUCUAAAGCUAAAUAUUGGCGAGAGGCCGAUAGCGCACAAGUAGAGUGAUCGAAAGAUGAAAAGCACUUUGAAAAGAGAGUUAAAAAGUACGUGAAAUUGUUGAAAGGGAAGCGCUUGAGACCAGACUCGACCAGUGGUGAUCAGCGGUGCUUCUGUGCCGUGCACUUGCCAUUGGUUGGGCCAGCAUCGGUUUGGACGGCGGGAUAAAGACCUAAGGAAUGUGGCUCCCUCCGGGGAGUGUUAUAGCCUUGAGUGCAAUGCCGCCAGUCUGGACCGAGGACCGCGCUUCGGCUAGGAUGCUGGCGUAAUGGUCUC
rnacentral:rRNA from 1 species